AUUUAAAACAAAAUCCUAUCUAGUAUUUACCCUGUCCAACUGCCUUCCAGUAGCAGUUUUCAAAAACAUAAUACCCUUCUGCUACCUAUUUCCUUCUUCAGAAAACUCUACAUGCAAAACUUUUUAGUCUGGAUUUCUUUGCCUUUUCCUCUCCGCCACUCGCCGUGUAAAAUCAGGCACUUCGCCAUGAAGUGAAUCACCCUGAAUAACCACAGAUUUCAAUGCCCAACGAAAUCCCUAACCAGAUUGCCUAAAAAUAGGCAUGGGCCUCCGCAGUGAACGAAGAUGGCAUCGCCGAAUGUAAAACUGAUUUUGAGGCCAAGAUCUUUCCUGAUGAAUUCCUAGCCAUCACCCCAGAACCCGAUUUUUUUUUUGUUGCAAAUCAAAAGCUCCAUCAAAAUUGAUUUUGAUGUUCGUCUCACUGGAGCGUUUCCAUAAAUCCAGUCCCCCAGAUCUGGUAAGUUUCCUUGUCUCUAAGCCAUCCAACUCCCCUUUAUAUUUGAUAACCCAAUCAGCUAUAUCCUUACCAGAGGCUAUUUUCCUUUCAUGUACGAGUUGAUUUCGACCCGUCAAAAUUGCCCAUAGGCCACGGCAGAACAGUCUGCAUUGCUCGCUAGAACCAACUUGAAAAACCCAGGGCAAACCCGAAAGACAUGAUCAGUGUUCUCAUCAGCUCUACGACAUCUCGGGCAUGUUGCAUCCACUACUACUCUUCUGUUGUAGUUUUAAUUUUGAGGGGAAGUUGUAAGUUCCAUAGUUUUCUGUAAAAAUCACUUACGGCAUGUUUGGUUGGCAUGAAUAGCCAUUCCAUUCCUUGCCUAUUCCGCGCGCUACAGUGAUUACACCCCCAUUCCACUGUUUGGUUCACGUUUACUAUUCCACCGUUGUGCUAUUACUUGUUUAUUCCCUCAGCAGCUGUAAUAGGUAUUCAGGGGUGGGGGCAACGAAUUGGUAUUCACCGUUUAUUGAUUUCUUCUCCCCAAAAUUUUGUGACCAAAAUAUCCUGCUUUCUUUCUCCCCAAAAAGUUUGCUCCGGAUUUCAUAUCCCCAAAUCAAGCAUCUAUUCGCCUUCAUCUUCAUCUCCCCAAAGCGACUGACAAACAAUAGAGGGAAGGGAGGUAAUCUUUUUCUGCCCUCAUCAAGCUUCAUCCUCUUCGACGUUUCCCUUCCAUUGAUUGCAGAGGUAAUCUUUUUACUUCUUUUCUUCAUUGAUUUUUCUUCUUACGUUUGGUAACUUAAAACCGAUUUCUGCCCUUAGCUUCAUCUUCUCCUACGUUUCUUUUUUUCAUUUGAUCAGGAACGAAAAAUGUUUUUUCACUCUUUGCUUAAAACCGAUUUCUUGGGUUAGGGCAGGGAAGAUUAUUCACCAAAAGAUAUCUGAAUCUUUUGUUCUCCUAAUUUUGAUUCUUUUCUUAUGAUUAGGGUUGGGCUUUUCUUUGACUGUUUCUAUUGCAUGUUCGAUUGAACAGAUGAAAAGUUUUUCUUUGACUGUUUCCAUUGUUUCUUGAUGAUUAAUUGGGAUUGAUCAAGUUGUAAGAGUUGAUUUCUACUGAGAAUAUGCGCAACUAGUGUUUCGACUAGCUUGUUUGAUUCAUUUCUUGUUCGAUUACAAUAUAUUGUAGUUUUGGUUCUGUAGGUAUUUAUUGUUUCAUUCAAAAAAUUGAUUUUGGAGGUGGGUUUGGUUUAAAAGAUCUUAAAUUUUGUUGAUAAUGGAUUUUAUUGGAUAAAUAAGCUAACAUUUUUGCACAUCAUUGCUGAUCGCUUAAUCCAUGAAUAUGAAUAUAUAUAUUUGUUUUUAGGAGAAAAGAAAAUUACAGAUAAUCUUAAUAACAAAAGAUAGGAUAGUUUGACUAUUGACUUUGCUUUAAAACUUAGCUGCAUUUGUUUUAUGGUGAAGUAGUUUACAAGGUUUUUAUGACCCAAGUUAAGGUUUAAUGCUAAGUGUGGUUAUCUGUGUCAUGUAACUUUGGUGUUAAGGAUUUGCUUCUAGGAUAACAAAAUAUGAUAUUCAGCUAACAUGGCUGCUUAUGGGGCUUAAUUUUCAUGGAGAAUCAAAGUUGUGUUGUUUUUCGCGCAUUAUUCGUUAUGUAGUAGAGACUAGUGGUCAAAUUUGUAUGCGACUAAUGGUCAAAUCUUCAUGUAUGAUUUACCUUUUAAUUAGUGAGCCUCAUGAUUAUUUGUUGAGUUGUUUUAGUUCAGAAUUUGGAUUAGGACCACAUAAUUCAUAUCGUAACUUUGAGAUUGUUUGCACAGAAGAUAUCAGAAAUCAGAUUUGAACACUAAAUAUGUUGUAGUCAAUUUGAUAUGGUUUAAGUUCGAUCAGCAGUUUUUUGGAUGCGGAUAGCCUAAUCAGGAGUAUAGAAGAAGCAUAGCAGGAAUUUCGAGAUUCAUUACUUAUUAUCAUUUAAGAGUCAUAACAGAAAUUACGAGAUGCAUUGUCAAGUUUGUGGUUUGGUUUUGUGCAUACUUGAUCCCAACCCACCGCUUGAAAAAGUUCCAGAUUUGAAGCUUAGAGAUUUCUAUUUUGUACUUUAUAUAAUUGCUUUUUGAUUUGUUGUCUUGCAUGAAGUGAUCUACUACACCUUCAAUGGAGAGAAUAUUUGCUUAAAGUAUAGGACACAAAUAAUUAAAUUGUAUUGUUUAAGAUUCGAGAAUCAAGAGGUCUUAGUUUCCCAAUUGACUUCCUUGAGCUAGUUUGAUAAGCAUGGAAGUUGUAUUGUUUCUUGAUGAUUAAUGUGUUGUUUUUUAAGGAUAAUUGAAUUUCUCAAACACUAGUAAACUGUUUUAAUCGAGAAUUAUUGUUUUUUUUGUUUUAA